UACAGCUUGAAAUAGAAUGUCAAGAAAUAGAACUCUGAAAAUCAUGGUUGUUCUUACUUCCCAAGUAUGAAAUAUUGCAAUGUCGAAACAUUGGAAAGCACACAGCCUGCAGCAGCCCCAACAGGAAAGCACUACGGGAGGACCAGCAGCCUCUUCCUCCCUGGGAGGCGGGGAGGGAUCAAUCUGGGAGACCCCCCAGCCCCUUCUGUGCAGUUUCCUGCAAAGGAUGCUCUCACGUCCUCAUGCCGGGAGGAGUGCCCAUCACAGGUGGCCGAAAAGUCCCUCGCUCACACACCCCUAAACAAAGGCAGCUGCACCCUUCUGAAGGUUUCUGGAACCCUUAACUUUGGCUAGGGUCUCGGGGUGAGCUCUGGGGGGAUUGCUGGGUAGGUGUGAUGACACAGCCCCUACUGUUGAAGUCAUUUGGAAUUCAUGAUGCAAUCCCUCAUGAGAAUUGUCCAACCCUCAGAAGUCUAUUGCACUCUCUAUGCCCUUGGAAUAUGGUUAUGUGGAUACAGGGUCUUGCCUCCCAAGAUAGGACCCUUCAAUCUUUGUCUCCCACACCUGGAAGCUGGGGCAUGCAUGUCCCAGGUUUGGCUAAUCAUGCUUGGCUGGAAUGAGUGAUUCAAAACUGAUGUUUCUUUAUAACCCAUUCAUUCAGGGGCUGGUGUGUACAGCGAAGAGAGUGGCCAUCAGACUAAAGUCCUUCUGCUAAAAUAAAGAUGGGGUUUCACCAUGUUGGCCAGGCUGGUCUCGAAGGAAGCAACCGGUGUUGCAUACACAUCGCCCGGACCUUCUAUGACAUCUGCAAGCAACUGCGAUCUGUGUACCUGCUACCUGCUGCUGCUUCUCUUGACAGCGAUGCGUGGAAGGGAAUGCUUCUCAGGGCGACACAGAGAGAGAGGAAAGACUUACCGACACAAGCCAGGGACAGCCGCCUACAUCUCCAUGGGAGAGUGGGAGGAGAGAGCCUUGAGUUAAGAGCCUGGACUGUCUUUCAGUCCCAGUUGUGCCACCAAAUGCCCUGUUUUUGACUCCCCCCCACCCCCAUUACCCAGUGCUGAGCUUCCCCAUCAGUACAGUGAGGUGCCGGGGUUGGAUCCCGUGGAUUCGGGAGGGCCUUCCUCCGCCGCCAGGUUCCAAGUCCAGGAAAUCCUUCCAGCUAUUCUGCUUCCUCAUCUGCACAAAGGAAGCCCCCACCCAGUUGAGACUCCCUCCCCAGGUGCUCUGAACCUGAAAACAAAGAGCAGUUGUGUGCCCCUCCCUGUCCAUCACUUUCCCUACCCGUCACACCUCUCUCCCUCUCUCCCCCUUAUAAGCUGCAUGACUGAAGGUCAGGGCUUCCCAGGAAUGCUUACCUUUUUGCCUUUGCCUUCCUGCCUUUAGAAAUUGAUUUACAUAAAACAACCAGAAGGG
rnacentral:lncRNA from 1 species